UUCCCGGGGCGGCCUCUGCGCUCAUGUGGGGCCGGCCCGCGCUCUCUCUGGAGUCUGAGUCCUCCUGUCUCAGCCGGGGCAGCGCGCCCCCGCCCUCAUUUCCUCACCUUCCGGGCUGUCCCCAGAGCUCUGCGGAGAACCGGGCUGGUCCCCAGGUGGAGGGAGGAGGCUGCCUCUGCACACCUGGCCGGAGACGGGCCCUUUGGGGGCGGAAGCUGUGCUCUGAGGGGCGAGCCUGGCCCGCUUUACCCAUCCACUCUUGAUCUGGCAGCCCCUCACUGGGCGCUUUGUUUUGCUUGGUCGGUGCUCCCUGGUGUCCUUGCCACGGCCUCGUUUGUUGCAGUCUUGUGCGUUGUGAUGGUUUGGGGUGGGGAUGUGGGGGGAGUUGUGAUUCAGCGAAACGGAAUGACACCCCCCCCAAACGGAAAUAGCCCAACUUUACCGGAGUCAGAUACCCCCGAGGCCCGGCCUUGGUUCAAGAUGGGAAAUCCCAUUUGGGUGUAGUGGACACUGUAAAUAUUUCUAUUCAGGCCCAUGGAUGAGUCAUGUGCUUUUGCUGAGUGGCUGACCUCCCAUUUACUCAAGACCACGCAUUGUUUUUUGCAGUGUUGUUUUUGUUUACUCAUUUAAUGUUUUGUGCAACCUGGAGCAGCUUUAGUCUUGGUCUUUGGGUUCAUUUUUAUGUGUGUGCUGGUUGCAAGAAGUGACCUCUUGGAAUCUGCGCCUGAGAAUUGAAGUGUUAAAUUCGAGAGAUCUCUACCUGUCCGUGUUUACGAAAACCGUUUGGGCGUAUCUUUAAGCCAGUGGCUCUUUGGUGCUGUAUUAACAGUUGGGAGAUUUUUAUGAAUGGGGCUGUCGUUCCUUAAAUUGUUAGUUCGAAAUUUAGUCCUUGGAGAUUGUAAAGAAAGCGAUACACAACAGAAUUUAUGAAUGUGUUUCCAAUUUCAAGAACUUUUGAACAGUUGGCACAGUCUGUUUUAUGACCUUGCCGCUAAUAUACUAAAAUAUUAUUUUCAGUUUAAUUUGUAUGGGAUCUUCCCAUCGAGGCAUUGUAGAUAAGUAAUCUUCAAAUCUUCAACCUGGGGAAGAUAAACCUCUCAGAUCCGUCCACCAAAUCGAGAAAAGCCUGAUCUGAAUGCAUUUGCUUCCUUUAUCUACCGUACUCCUUAAUCUUGGUGGGAAACAUAGUAUCUAAGGGCUCAAAUUGUGGAAUGAAUUCUUCUCUAAAAUGCUUUUUAGUUGGUCUUAAUCUGAGCGAGAUGGGCCCACCUCCGUGAAUCUUGCUAGAAUUCAGCCCUAGCCAAAUUGUUGAAGGUGAAGAACUUUGCCUACAGAUGAAAGUUAGAACAUGGAAGUGGCUGCAUUUCAAGGAUGAUGGGUCGGCUGUCCUCAGGUGCCUACAUGGCUACCUUCCCUAGUUUGGGUGGUGAGGAGGGGGGAAAAAAUUAACCUAAGAAUUGCAAGGGAAUCAUUGGUCACUUUGUAAAAUUUCCACUAAAUUAUUGAAUUGUUUAAAGGAAUUUAGACUUUGUUUCCAAAAGUUACCUUUUGAGCCAGUUGUUGUGAUCUUUGUACUAAAUUGCACUUUUGCUUUUUGGAGUUGGAGGGGGAUGCAUUGGGUUUUUUUGUUUGUUUGUUUGUUUGUUUGUUUGUUUUUAAGCAAAAACCAUUUGGCAUCUCAGUGAUUUGAAGACCCAGGGCUGUUAAAUCUGCUCUUGGUCUGGUUAAAUUGUUAUGGUCUGUCACCAUUGUGGGGAUGUAAAAUGUUUUGAGUUCUGAUUUUGAAUAAACUUGUAGGCAUGUUUGUCCUUAUGCUCUUAGCAAAUCUAUAAAAGGAAAGAAGAGCUUGUCAUUGAAAACUGCUGCUAAUGUUUCAUAAAUCUUUGUGUUUAGAAAAGGGCUGAAAAUUCAAAUUUUUAGUGUUUAGAAAAGUUUGAAUGCAUGGUGAGGAUGGUGGGGAUUCUUUGCUGAUGCUGACAUUUUACUUAAUUCAUAAGACAUGAGCUUAUAAAAAGUUUUUUUCUUUAAAUUAUUAUUUUUUACUAGAAUGUAAGUUCCAUGAAGGCAGGGUCUUGUUAGAUUAGCCUUGCCUAUUUUUAUUCUUUAUUGUAUCCUUAGCAUCUAGAAGAGCAGCUAAAAUAUUCCCUGAGUAAAUAAACUGGGGAGAUAAUUGAGGAAGAUUUGGCAUGCCCAUAAUACCAAAGGCAAAUAAUUUCUCUUAAUAAAAUAUUAACAUUGGGCAUAAUUGGUCAGCGGUGCCUUACAGGGAAUGUGAAUUUUAACUAAGAUAACUUUAAAGUCCCUAGAAGUUGCAGUAAACUUAUUAAUCAUAAAAUCAGCAUGGCAUGUAGUUACUCCUGUGCACCAUCUAUUGUACAUUUCCCACUUAGCAUUUUGAAAUGUGGUGAGUGGGUUUGGUCUGUGGUUCAAUCCUGACCUGAGGAAAGUAUUUUAAGAGGGAGAUGAAGUGGGUAAUAAAGAAGUAUGGAUAGCAUUUCUGUGUUGUUGUUGGUUUUUGUCUUUUGUCUUUUCAGAGCCACACCCAAGGCAUAUGGAGGUUCCCAGUCUGGGGGGGGGGGGUCUAAUCAGAGCUCAAUAGCUCCUAUUGGAUACCUUGCCUGGGAACCUCCAUGUGCUGCAGGUGAGGCCCUAAAAAGACCAAAAAAAAUAUAUAUAUAUAUAUAUCUAUAUGUAUGUAUAUAUAUAUGUGUGUGUGUGUGUGUGUGUGUGUAUAUAUGUUAAAACUUGAACACAGAAGCCUGCCAAGUUCUACAGACUUUCUCAUGUCCUAUUUUUGCUCUGAAACUGAUUGAGUAGUUGGAGGAUUUUUAUCAGGCAGCUGUGAAAUACAGACAAAAGCAUAUAGGAGAUGGUUUAAGCAGUGGCACCAUGGUGUCCAGCCAGGUAUCUUUCAGGGCAUCCUAAAAGAAAAUAAGUGACUGGUUAAAAUUUGGUUUGACCCCACGCCUAACUGUUUUCUCAGGGUCUGUCAGUUACCCCACAGCCCUGGCUUCUCAACCCAACCCACUAACACAGCCUUUUUGACAGCAAGUGGCUUGACUUAUUUUUUUUUUUUUAAUUGAGGUAUGGUUGAUGCACAUUAUUACAUAAACUUGAGGUGUACAACAUAGUGAUUCACACUUUUUUUUUUUAAUGGCUGUACCUGUGACACAUGGACAUUCCCAGGCCAGGGAUUGAAUCCAAGCUGUAGUUGCUACCUACCCCACAGUUGAGGCAACACCAGUUCCUUUAACUCACUGCACUGAGCUGGGGAUGGAACCCUCACUUUUGCAGUGACCUGAGCCACUGUGCCACAGCAGGAACUCUGUAAUUCACACUUUUUAAAGGUUAUAUUCCAUUUAUAGUUACAGCAUUUAGGCUAUAUAUUCCCUGUAGCUUGACUUGUGUGGGUUUUUUUAAAAAUAUUUUAUUUAUUGGGAGUUCCCGUCGUGGCACAGUGGUUAACAAAUCCGACUAGGAACCAUGAGGUUGCGGGUUCGGUCCCUGCCCUUGCUCAGUGGGUUAAGGAUCCGGCGUUGCCGUGAGCUGUAGUGUAGGUCGCAGACGCGGCUCGGAUCCCGC
rnacentral:lncRNA from 1 species